rnacentral:tRNA from 1 species
GCCAGGGUAGCUCAAUGGUAGAGCAGAGGACUCAUAAGCCUUUGGUUGUCGGUUCAAGUCCGGCCCCUGGCA